rnacentral:rRNA from 1 species
GACGAACGCUGGCGGCGUGCUUAACACAUGCAAGUCGAACGGAAAGGCCUCUUUCGGGGGGUACUCGAGUGGCGAACGGGUGAGUAACACGUGAGUAACCUGCCCUUGACUUUGGGAUAACUUCAGGAAACUGGGGCUAAUACCGGAUAGGAGCUCCUGCUGCAUGGUGGGGGUUGGAAAGUUUCGGCGGUUGGGGAUGGACUCGCGGCUUAUCAGCUUGUUGGUGGGGUAGUGGCUUACCAAGGCUUUGACGGGUAGCCGGCCUGGGAGGGUGACCGGCCACAUUGGGACUGAGAUACGGCCCCGACUCCUACGGGGGGCAGCAGUGGGGAAUAUUGCACAAUGGGUGGAAGCCUGAUGCAGCAACGCCGUGUGCGGGAUGACGGCCUUCGGGUUGUAAACCGCUUUCGCUCAUGACGAAGCUUUGUGUGACGGUAGUGGGUAAAGAAGCACCGGCUAACUACGUG